rnacentral:rRNA from 1 species
GAGACAGCAGCAGCCGCGGGAAUACAGAGGGUGCGAGCGUUAAUCGGAUUUACUGGGCGUAAAGCGUGCGUAGGCGGCUUCUUAAGUCGGAUGUGAAAUCCCUGAGCUUAACUUAGGAAUUGCAUUCGAUACUGGGAAGCUAGAGUAUGGGAGAGGAUGGUAGAAUUCCAGGUGUAGCGGUGAAAUGCGUAGAGAUCUGGAGGAAUACCGAUGGCGAAGGCAGCCAUCUGGCCUAAUACUGACGCUGAGGUACGAAAGCAUGGGGAGCAAACAGGAUUAGAUACCCCCGUAGUCCCUGUCUCUUAUAC